rnacentral:rRNA from 1 species
GUCCAGACUCCUACGGGAGGCAGCAGUGGGGAAUAUUGCACAAUGGGGGAAACCCUGAUGCAGCGACGCCGCGUGAGUGAAGAAGUAUUUCGGUAUGUAAAGCUCUAUCAGCAGGGAAGAAGAAAGACGGUACCUGACUAAGAAGCCCCGGCUAACUACGUGCCAGCAGCCGCGGUAAUACGUAGGGGGCAAGCGUUAUCCGGAUUUACUGGGUGUAAAGGGAGCGUAGACGGAGAAGCAAGUCUGAAGUGAAAGCCCGUGGCCCAACCCCGGGACUGCCCUUGGAACUGCAUGGCUGGAGUGCGGGAGGGGCAGGCGGAAUUCCUGGUGUAGCGGUGAAAUGCGUAGAUAUCAGGAGGAACACCGGCGGCGAAGGCGGCCUGCUGGACCGCGACUGACGUUGAGGCUCGAAAGCGUGGGGAGCGAACAGGAUUAGAUACCCUGGUAA